GAUUUCUGUCUUUCUUCUUCCAAUGAAGUUCAGUCUUCUCCACGUUUCCACACUUCUUUCUGUGAGUAUACAUAAGUUGUUGGUAUCUUCAAAAUCUGAAUAUUUAAUGUCUUUCUGCUACAAAAUGUCUUUCUCUCAAAUGAACUGCAUACAAUGUGUUUCUUCUCCAUGAUAUAUGAACUAAUUAAAGCUGGAAUAUCUUGAUAUGUGUAUAUAUGUUUGAAACUUUGGGGUUAAUUAAUCUCGGUUAUGUUUAAUUAUUUGUGGUUUGAAUAUCAGCUAGCACUUCUGGGAUGCCAUGCAGUGACUCCUGAUGUUUACUGGAAGUCUAUGCUGCCAAACAGUCCUAUGCCCAAAUCAGUCAAGGAUCUUGUGUACACUGCAGGUUAAUCUCUAUUAAUUCUUUCGUGCUCUUCAUGCAUUGUUUCUCGAUCGAUAUAACUUAAUUUGAUGAUUUAUAACAGGAUGGACGGACGAGAAGUACACCAUGGUCGGAGUUGGGAGUCGUGGGGUGGAGGUGGGCGCCGGAACACCAGGGGAUCAAACGGAUGUUGGUGUCGGAAGAGGUGGUGUUGCUGUGCAUACAACCCACAGAGGGAAGCCCGUUUGCGUAGGUGUACAUCCAGGACCCGAUCCAUUCAAUUACCUCUACGCUGCCUCUGCUGAUCAACUCAAAGAUGAUCCAAAUGUAGCUUUGUUCUUCUUAGAAAACGACUUGCAUCAAGGAAAGGAAAUGAAGUUACAUUUCACGAAAGUCGACCCGACCCAAAAACCAAACUUUUUACCUCGACAGAUAGCUGACUCGAUACCCUUUUCAUCAAACAAACUUCCACAAAUCUACAAUAAGUUCUCGAUAAAACCUGACUCACUGGAAGCUGAAAUCAUGAAGCAAACACUAAACCAAUGUGAGAGCAAAGGCAUCAAAGGCGAGGAAAAAUAUUGCGCAACGUCAUUAGAGUCCAUGGUGGAUUUUAGUACUACAAAGUUGGGUAAAAAAGUGAAAGCCAUCUCAACAGAAGUAAACGUUAAAGAAAGUAGUCCAUUGCAGAAGUAUACGAUUGAGGGAGCUAAGAAACUUGUAGCAGAUAGAGCUGUGGUUUGCCAUAAGAAAAACUACGCUUACGCUGUGUUUUAUUGCCACAAAACUGUUAGCACUCGAGCGUACGUUGUUUCUUUGGUGGGAGAGGAUGGGACUAAAGCAAAAGCAGUGGCAGUUUGCCAUACAGACACCUCGAAAUGGAACCCGAAACAUUUGGCUUUUAAAGUGCUUAAAGUGAAACCAGGAAGUGUCCCAGUUUGUCAUUUCUUGCCUGAAGAUCACGUUGUUUGGGUUCCAUACUAAUAAUAUUAACAGGAAAAACACAUUAGAUAGAUAUUUUAUUAUACUUUCCUUGUAUAAUCCUAUUAUCAAAUUUAUCACCGUUCUUUCUCCCAAUUUAAUUACUGAUCGUUUUGUAUUAACCUGUUAAGUACAUUUUAACUUUAUAUUUAUAUUAUAUAUGCUUAGAAAAAUAACAAAUUAGAUGAUAGAGAUUUAUAAUUUUUUUUACGAAGACGAUGGGAAACAAGUUAAUAUAAAAAGAAGAAUUUAAAAUAACUGUUAAUGAUUUAAGAAAGUUUAAGCUAAUGAUGUUUGAUUUAAUAAAUUAAUUUAUUGGAAAGAUAAUAUGACAAACAAAAGUACCAAAGACCUUAUCCAACAAUAUUAAAUUUUGUCCUCCUUUUUAACUUCAAUGGUUAAAGUUUUGUUUGGGACAUAAGAUAUAUAAAAUAUAAUUAGAAGCAGUUCAUGAGUAGAGUACUUUAAGGUCGAUGGUUAAAGUAUUGUUUAGGACAUUAGAUAAACAUAAUUAGAAGCAGUUAAAUGAACAGAAUAGAUUUUUCCUUAAAAAAACAAAAGUGCUAUAAGGUUAAUGAUUGUUAAUAAUUGGAGCUAUGCUAUUUUAGAAUAAGUUUAUGUAUAAAAGGUAUAAAUUUAUAUGUAUACUUAACCUUACAAACAUUGAUAAACCGAACAUACAGAAGGAUGCAGCAACUCCGUAAAAACAAGUGUGUGAUUAGUAAAACCUUAUAGAUUGUCUUGAAAAGACAGACACACUACAUAUAUAGGCGUAACACGUUUUUCAUGCCGUGUUUAUUAGUAUAGAAGCCAAAUAAAUCAGAAAUCAGAUGUUUGAAAUGCCAAAUGAAGAGAAACACUACAACUUUGACAAUAAAAGACAGCGUAAGCAUCAGGAUUCAGGUUUGGCAAUAAAAGACACACACGCACUACAUUCAGUUUUGGCAAUAAAAGAAACUACAACAUUGCUGACAAUAAAGAAAUCAGAAAAAACUACUCGAAGUGACGCCUACGCUUACCAAAUUUGUAGAGAUUGUAGGAAAGGAGAAACGAUAAAGACAUCAGAAAUAAAGAUUAACCCAUGUAGUAUGUACAAGAUCCUUGAUUGCUUUGGGCAUACGACUGUUUGGCAAUACACACUUCCGGUAAACAUCAGGAUUCACUGCAUGACUUGCCAUCAGCGCUAGCUGUUGGAAGCCACAAAUAAUUAAAUAUAAAUAAGUAAAAUCAGAUCCAAAAUAUCAUUUUAUACAUAUACGAACACAUUUAAUACUUCAAACCCGACCAGAACUUUUCGGACCAAUUGUGGUGCAAGAAUACAUAAAAGAUUCAAAAAUUUUAAAAUAACCAAAAAAACUAAUGAUGAUGAGAAUAUACUUACACAAAAAAAUGUAUAAACGUUAAGUAGAUUGAAGAUCAUCGGAGAAAAACGGAAACCGAAAUCAAAGUGAAUGUGGAAGUUAGCGUUUGAUGGAGAAAAACGGAAACCGAAAUCAAAGUGAAUGUGGAAGUUAGCGUUUGAUGGAGAAAAAC
rnacentral:lncRNA from 1 species